rnacentral:rRNA from 1 species
UACGUAGGUGGCAAGCGUUGUCCGGAUUUAUUGGGCGUAAAGCGAGCGCAGGCGGUUCCUUAAGUCUGAUGUGAAAGCCCACGGCUCAACCGUGGAAGGUCAUUGGAAACUGGGGAACUUGAGUGCAGAAGAGGAGAGUGGAAUUCCAUGUGUAGCGGUGAGAUGCGUAGAUAUAUGGAGGAACACCAGUGGCGAAGGCGACUCUCUGGUCUGUAACUGACGCUGAGGCUCGAAAGCGUGGGGAGCAAACAGGAUUA